UACGUAGGGCGCAAGCGUUGUCCGGAAUUAUUGGGCGUAAAGAGCUCGUAGGCGGCUUGUCGCGUCGGAUGUGAAAGCCCGGGGCUUAACUCCGGGUCUGCAUUCGAUACGGGCAGGCUAGAGUGUGGUAGGGGAGAUCGGAAUUCCUGGUGUAGCGGUGAAAUGCGUAGAGAUCCGGAGGAACACCGACGGCGCAGGCAGCGUCCUGGCCGCUUGCUGACACUGAGGCACGAAAGCUGGGGGAGCAAACAGG
rnacentral:rRNA from 1 species